GACGAACGCUGGCGGCGUGCCUAAUACAUGCAAGUUGAGCGCUGAAGGUUGGUACUUGUACCAACUGGAUGAGCAGCGAACGGGUGAGUAACGCGUGGGGAAUCUGCCUUUGAGCGGGGGACAACAUUUGGAAACGAAUGCUAAUACCGCAUAAAAACUUUAAACACAAGUUUUAAGUUUGAAAGAUGCAAUUGCAUCACUCAAAGAUGAUCCCGCGUUGUAUUAGCUAGUUGGUGAGGUAAAGGCUCACCAAGGCGAUGAUACAUAGCCGACCUGAGAGGGUGGACGGCCACAUUGGGACUGAGACACGGCCCAAACUCCUACGGGAGGCAGCAGUAGGGAAUCUUCGGCAAUGGACGAAAGUCUGACCGAGCAACGCCGCGUGAGUGAAGAAGGGUUUCGGAUCGUAAAACUCUGUUGGUAGAGAAGAACGUUGGUGAGAGUGGAAAGCUCAUCAAGUGACGGUAACUACCCAGAAAGGGACGGCUAACUACGUG
rnacentral:rRNA from 1 species